rnacentral:rRNA from 1 species
GGGCUUCAUUACUGUGUGGUCGCGGCCUCCGGGGGCUCCCCCCGGGCGGUAGAGGUAACACUCUUACGCGCCACAUGUCUGAAUCCUUUUUUUACGAGCACCUUUCGUUCUCCUUCGGUGGGGCAACCUGCCGUUGGAACUUAUCAAAACCUUUUUUGCAUCUAGCAUUACCUGUUCAGAUACAAACAAUCGUUACAACUUUCAACAAUGGAUCUCUUGGCUCUGGCAUCGAUGAAGAACGCAGCGAAAUGCGAUAAGUAGUGUGAAUUGCAGAAUUCAGUGAAUCAUCGAAUCUUUGAACGCACAUUGCGCCCCUUGGUAUUCCAUGGGGCAUGCCUGUUCGAGCGUCAUCUACACCCUCAAGCUCUGCUUGGUGUUGGGCGUCUGUCCCGCCUCUGCGCGUGGACUCGCCCCAAAUUCAUUGGCAGCGGUCUUUGCCUCCUCUCGCGCAGCACAUUGCGCUUUAGAGGGGUGUGGGCCGCGUCCACGAAGCAACAUUAUCGUCUUUGACCUCGGAUCAGGUAGGGAUACCCGCUGAACUUAAGCAUAUCAAUAAGCGGAGGAA